rnacentral:lncRNA from 1 species
AGAAAACUUAUUACUCAAUGCUUGAUAAAACUUGUUAGUGGAGAAAAAACAUAAAAAAAAUCAAUCAUACACUACAUACACAACAUAUUGCAUAUCUCAUACAUGUCUAACAUCUCUUUACAACUAGCACAUUCUCCCCACAGACAUCUCAUCUAAUCCCUAACAGAUAACCAUAUACACCACCCAUUAAACAAUUUCCCAUUAAUACCUUUAUCUC